rnacentral:rRNA from 1 species
AUUAGAUACCCUAUUAUUUUUAUUGUGAAAUUGUAAGCUGGAGUAUUAAUAGUUAUGGUCUUGAAACUUAAAGAAUUUGGCGGUAUUAUAGUCUAUUUAGAGGAAUCUGUUAUGUAAUCGAUAAUCCGCGUUGAACCUUACUUAUAUUAAUUUUUGUAUAUCGCUGUUUAAGAAUAUAUUUUUAGGUAAUUUUCUUAAUAUUAAAUUAAUUAAUAUUUCAAGUCAAGGUGCAGUAAUAUAUAAGUUGAAUAAUGGAUUACAAUAAAAUUUAUUUAUAUGGAUUGUUAUUGAAAUAUAAUUUGAAGGUGGAUUUAAUUGUAAUUUUAUAAAGAUUAUUAAAAUGAUUUUAGGCUCUAUAAUAUGCACACAUCGCCCG